GGUAAGAUGGUUGAGUGUUAGGCGGUAGGCUGUAGUCCUAUUUACAUAGGUUUAAUUCCUUUUCUUAUCA
rnacentral:tRNA from 1 species